rnacentral:rRNA from 1 species
GAUGAACGCUGGCGGCGUGCCUAAUACAUGCAAGUCGAGCGAACAGACGAGGAGCUUGCUCCUCUGACGUUAGCGGCGGACGGGUGAGUAACACGUGGAUAACCUACCUAUAAGACUGGGAUAACUUCGGGAAACCGGAGCUAAUACCGGAUAAUAUAUUGAACCGCAUGGUUCAAUAGUGAAAGACGGUUUUGCUGUCACUUAUAGAUGGAUCCGCGCCGCAUUAGCUAGUUGGUAAGGUAACGGCUUACCAAGGCGACGAUGCGUAGCCGACCUGAGAGGGUGAUCGGCCAAACGGGAACUAGAACACGGUCCAGAUCCCUACGGGAGGCAGCAGUAGGGAAUCUUCCGCAAUGGGCGAAAGCCUGACGGAGCAACGCCGCGUGAGUGAUGAAGGUCUUCGGAUCGUAAAACUCUGUUAUUAGGGAAGAACAAAUGUGUAAGUAACUAUGCACGUCUUGACGGUACCAAAUCAGAAAGCCACGGCUAACUACGU